CAAAGAUGCAUGCAGAUGAGAGAAAGACUGGUAAGAUAUGGCAUUUUCACAGACUUCAAAGACGUUCCUGUGUGGCAUAGUGCAGGAACAGGUCACACACUGUUAUGGCUGGUAUUCACUCAUUGUCCUCAUCACUGGCUGCUUUAGAAAAUUCUUAUUUAACAGCGUCAAUUUUUCUAAGAGAUAUUGACUAUUUAGAAGACGUAUUAAAUUAAGGUAUAUACAUGGAAGACAUAGGAUGACAAGAAAAGAGCCCUAAAUAUAAAGUUAGAGGGCCUAGAUUAGCCCUGAGCUAACAUCUGCCACCAAUCCUCCACUUUUUGCUGAGGAAGACUGGUCCUGAGCUAACAUCUGUGCCCAUCUUCCUCUACUUUAUAUGUGGGACACCUACCACAGCAUGGCUUGCCAAGCGAUGUGUAGGUCUGCACCGGGGAUCCUGACUGGCGAACCCUGGGUCACUGGAGCAGAUUGUGUGAACUUAACUGCUGCCCCACCGGGGUGGCCUCCUUAUAUGUUAUUUAAUAUAGAAUCAUCAAUAAAAAUUAUAGAGAUACCAGAAAAUGUAUAUAGAUAAUGACAAAGUGUAUAUUCUUAAGUUUAAUGAUUUUUUAUUUAAAUUUAAAAACACACAUCCAAUAUUACUGAUUUUACUGUAGUUCUAUAUAGCCACUUUUGGGAUAGAUUAUUGAAUAAAGAUAAUCUCUCUUUGAUGAGCAAAUAUUUACCAUUAUACAGUAAACCAUUCUUAAAUAUGUUUUUGUAUUGCAACUUCCUGUUAAAAUUGGGGAAGUCAAAAUUUGCGUGUCUGUGUGUGUUGUGGGUGUUUUAUAUGUGUCAGUGAAAUUAGGUUUAACUUGUAACUUAUGUGUGUGUUAAAUAAUUUGCCUAUUUGUUUCCUCCUCAUUUUGUGUUUUUAAUGGAUUUCAUUAGUUUUGGAAGAAAUAAUACAUUCUGAGUGAAUUCAGUGAUUUGGAAUCAAGAUUUAUUUACACAAAUCAUUUUAUUUCACAAAAAAACUGUUUCUAAAAGUGAUUGCUAAUUAUUCUCAGAGACAAAAAGAUGUGUCUCUUUAUUACCAGGAAUGGCUGGCCAUGUUUUGCUCUGAAUACAACACCUGGGGAAUAUCAUCUGAGGGUGACUUUGGUUACGGUGCUUUUUAAGACUGCUUUUAAUUGCUUUUGCAUCGAGCUGUAUUCAUGAAU
rnacentral:lncRNA from 1 species